UACGGAGGAUGCGAGCGUUAUCCGGAUUUACUGGGUGUAAAGGGCGCGCAGGCGGGCCGGCAAGUUGGGAGUGAAAUCCCGGGGCUUAACCCCGGAACUGCUUUCAAAACUGCUGGUCUUGAGUGAUGGAGAGGCAGGCGGAAUUCCGUGUGUAGCGGUGAAAUGCGUAGAUAUACGGAGGAACACCAGUGGCGAAGGCGGCCUGCUGGACAUUAACUGACGCUGAGGCGCGAAAGCGUGGGGAGCAAACAGG
rnacentral:rRNA from 1 species